rnacentral:tRNA from 1 species
GAGGAUGUGGCUCAGUUGGUUAAGUGUUUGCCUAACAUACAAGAGGCCCUGGGUUCAAUUCCCAGCACCACA